GAUUAACGCUAGCGGCAGGCCUAAUACAUGCAAGUCGAGGGGCAGCAGGGUGUAGCAAUACAUCGCUGGCGACCGGCGCACGGGUGCGUAACACGUAUGCAACCUACCUUUAACUGGGGGAAUAGCCCUCCGAAAGGAGGAUUAACACCGCAUAACAUCACGAGACGGCAUCGCCUUGUGAUCAAACCUCCGGGGGUUAAAAUGGGCAUGCGUCCGAUUAGCUAGUUGGCGGGGUAACGGCCCACCAAGGCGACGAUCGGUAGGGGGUCUGAGAGGAUGAUCAGCCACACUGGAACUGAGACACGGUCCAGACUCCUACGGGAGGCAGCAGUAGGGAAUAUUGGACAAUGGGGGCAACCCUGAUCCAGCCAUGCCGCGUGAGUGAAGAAGGCCCUCGGGUUGUAAAGCUCUUUUGUCCGGAAAGAAAAGCAAUCGGUUAAUACCCGGUUGUUCUGACGGUACCGGAAGAAUAAGCACCGGCUAACUACGUGCCAGCAGCCGCGGUAAGG
rnacentral:rRNA from 1 species